rnacentral:rRNA from 1 species
UACGUAGGGUGCAAGCGUUAUCCGGAAUUAUUGGGCGUAAAGCGCGCGCAGGCGGUUUCUUAAGUCUGAUGUGAAAGCCCACGGCUCAACCGUGGAGGGUCAUUGGAAACUGGGAGACUUGAGUGCAGAAGAGGAAAGUGGAAUUCCAUGUGUAGCGGUGAAAUGCGUAGAGAUAUGGAGGAACACCAGUGGCGAAGGCGACUUUCUGGUCUGUAACUGACACUGAGGCGCGAAAGCGUGGGGAGCAAACAGG